rnacentral:rRNA from 1 species
CGGUCAUUGUGACGGGGAUCCACCCGUUCCCAUUCCGAACACGGCCGUUAAGCCCGUCAACGCCGACAAUACUCGGGGCGCAAGCCCCCGGAAAGAUAGGUCGCCGUCAGGA